rnacentral:rRNA from 1 species
CCUACGGGAGGCUGCAGUGAGGAAUAUUGGUCAAUGGACGAGAGUCUGAACCAGCCAAGUAGCGUGAAGGAUGACUGCCCUAUGGGUUGUAAACUUCUUUUAUAUGGGAAUAAAAUGUUCCACGUGUGGGAUUUUGUAUGUACCAUAUGAAUAAGGAUCGGCUAACUCCGUGCCAGCAGCCGCGGUAAUACGGAGGAUCCGAGCGUUAUCCGGAUUUAUUGGGUUUAAAGGGAGCGUAGGUGGAUUGUUAAGUCAGUUGUGAAAGUUUGCGGCUCAACCGUAAAAUAGCAGUUGAAACUGGCAGGCUUGAGUGCAGUAGAGGUGGGCGGAAUGCGUGGUGUAGCGGUGAAAUGCUUAGAUAUCACGAAGAACUCCGAUUGCGAAGGCAGCUCACUGGACUGCAACUGACACUGAGGCUCGAAAGUGUGGGUAUCAAACAGGAUUAGAUACCCUGGUAGUC